rnacentral:miRNA from 1 species
UAAGAUGACAAACCAUCCUGGUUUGCCUGGGACUGAGGGGUUUGACUCCCAGUGCUAAUACUGGGACAGUCCGGGCAAACUGGG